UCUAGGCCCCGUCAGGAGCCCGAGUUGUAAUUUGGAGAGGACACUUCGGGUGCCCCAGUAACGGCGAGUGAAGCGGCAAAAGCUCAAUUUGAAAUCUGGCUCCUUCCGGGGUCCGAGUUGUAAUUUGCAGAGGAUGCUUUGGGUGCACCCGCGGCGUAAGUCCCUUGGAACAGGGCGUCAUAGAGGGUGAGAAUCCCGUCUUGAGUCGCUGGCGUGUGCCCGUGCAAAGCUCCUUCGACGAGUCGAGUUGUUUGGGAAUGCAGCUCUAAUUGGGUGGUAAAUUUCAUCUAAAGCUAAAUACUGGCCGGAGACCGAUAGCGAACAAGUAGAGUGAUCGAAAGGUUAAAAGCACCUUGAAAAGGGAGUUAAAUAGCACGUGAAAUUGUUGAAAGGGAAGCGCUUGCAGCCAGACUCGGGCGCGGAGGCUCAGCGGGCAUGUUUGCCCGUGUACUCCUUCGCGCCCGGGCCAGCAUCGGUUUUGGCGGCCGGUCAAAGGCCCCCGGAAUGUGUCGUCCUCCGGGACGUCUUAUAGCCGGGGGUGCAAUGCGGCCAGCCGGGACCGAGGAACGCGCUUCGGCACGGAUGCUGGCGUAAUGGCUGUAAGCGGCCCGUCUUGAAACACGGGACCA
rnacentral:rRNA from 2 species